rnacentral:rRNA from 1 species
GAUGAACGCUGGCGGCGUGCCUAAUACAUGCAAGUCGAGCGAACAGACGAGGAGCUUGCUCCUCUGACGUUAGCGGCGGACGGGUGAGUAACACGUGGAUAACCUACCUAUAAGACUGGGAUAACUUCGGGAAACCGGAGCUAAUACCGGAUAAUAUAUUGAACCGCAUGGUUCAAUAGUGAAAGACGGUUUUGCUGUCACUUAUAGAUAGAUCCGCGCCGCAUUAGCUAGUUGGUAAGGUAACGGCUUACCAAGGCAACGAUGCGUAGCCGACCUGAGAGGGUGAUCGGCCACACUGGGACUGAGACACGGUCCAGACUCCUACGGGAGGCAGCAGUAGGGAAUCUUCGGCAAUGGGCGAAAGCUUGACGGAGAAACGCCGCGUGAGUGAUGAAGGUCUUCGGAUCGUAAAACUCUGUUAUUAGGGAAGAACAAAUGUGUAAGUAACUAUGCACGUCUUGACGGUACCUAAUCAGAAAGCCACGGCUAACUACGUG